AGAUACGGCCCAGACUCCUACGGGAGGCAGCAGUGGGGAAUAUGCACAAUGGGCGGAAGCCUGAUGCAGCAACGCCGCGUGCGGGAUGACGGCCUUCGGGUUGUAAACCGCUUCGCCUGUGACGAAGCGUGAGUGACGGUAAUGGGUAAAGAAGCACCGGCUAACUACGUGCCAGCAGCCGCGGUGAUACGUAGGGUGCGAGCGUUGUCCGGAUUUAUUGGGCGUAAAGGGCUCGUAGGUGGUUGAUCGCGUCGGAAGUGUAAUCUUGGGGCUUAACCUGAGCGUGCUUUCGAUACGGGUUGACUUGAGGAAGGUAGGGGAGAAUGGAAUUCCUGGUGGAGCGGUGGAAUGCGCAGAUAUCAGGAGGAACACCAGUGGCGAAGGCGGUUCUCUGGGCCUUUCCUGACGCUGAGGAGCGAAAGCGUGGGGAGCGAACAGGCUUAGAUACCCUGGUAGUCCACGCUGUAAAC
rnacentral:rRNA from 1 species